GGGUCAGUAGGUUGGUCGUGCCACCGGUACGUACUGCUCUCACUGAUUCCUCCUUCCUGAAGAACCGUAAUGCCAUUAAUUUGGUGUUGCGGGGAAACAGGACUGUUACUUUGAAAAAAUUAGAGUGUUUAAAGCAAGCUAACGCUUGAAUACAUUAGCAUGGAAUAAUGAAAUAGGACGAUCGAUCCUAUUUUGUUGGCUUCUAGGAUUGACGUA
rnacentral:rRNA from 1 species